GGACAGGUGAGUAACGCGUGGGUAACCUGCCUUGUACUGGGGGACAACAGUUGGAAACGACUGCUAAUACCGCAUAAGCGCACAGCUUCGCAUGAAGCAGUGUGAAAAACUCCGGUGGUACAAGAUGGACCCGCGUCUGAUUAGCUGGUUGGUGAGGUAACGGCCCACCAAGGCGACGAUCAGUAGCCGGCCUGAGAGGGUGAACGGCCACAUUGGGACUGAGACACGGCCCAAACUCCUACGGGAGGCAGCAUG
rnacentral:rRNA from 1 species